AUGAUGUUUCUGUGCUGUCUGUUUGUGUUAACAGUAACGCAAGGUUUUGCACAGUCAAUAACACCAUUGCAGAUCAAAAUGUAUGCCACUGAGGGUGAAAAUAUCACUCUCUCAUGCAAAUAUGAUGGAAAUGCAGACAGUCUGCAAUGGUAUCGACAGUUUCCUGGGUCCAGGCCUGAAUUUCUACUCCUUGUCAUUGUGUCAUCUAAACGGAAUGUAAUAUAUGCGGACCCCCCUAUCCCAGGACUGGAUGGCGAACUGGGAGAUAAGCAGGUGGAUCUGGAGAUCUCCUCUGCUGCAGUAAAAGACUCUGCUCUGUACUACUGUGCCCUGCAGCCCACAGUAACAGGAAACACAACAACACUGUACAAAAACGUCUAUGAAAACUUCUUCCUCUUUGUACCAACUCUACCAGCUCCUUGUAGUUUCAUUUAUUCAACACUUUGAAUAAUUUUAUUUCGCUUUAAGUUAUCAAUAAGACAAGUUGUUGACAAGAAUAAUUGUUCUCUCAGCAUAUUUUACUGUGUUAUUCUCACAGACCCCCCACAAUUAUCACAGAAAAUUUGAAAAAUCAUUUUUUUGUGUGUGUGCAUUUUGCAGCAGUUUUCUGUUGAAAUCAACACUAGGUGCUACAAUUACUGUG